rnacentral:rRNA from 1 species
GACGAACGCUGGCGGCGUGCUUAACACAUGCAAGUCGAACGGAAAGGCCCUGCUUUUGUGGGGUGCUCGAGUGGCGAACGGGUGAGUAACACGUGAGUAACCUGCCCUUGACUUUGGGAUAACUUCAGGAAACUGGGGCUAAUACCGGAUAGGAGCUCCUGCUGCAUGGAGGGGGUUGGAUAGUUUCGGCGGUUGGGGAUGGACUCGCGGCUUAUCAGCUUGUUGGUUGGGUAGUGGCUUACCAAGGCUUUGACGGGUAGCCGGCCUGAGAGGGUGACCGGCCACAUUGGUCCUGAGGUACGGCCCAGACUCCUACGGGAGGCAGCAGUGGGGAAUAUUGCACAGUGGGCGGAAGCCUGAUGCAGCGACGCCGCGUGCGUGAUGACGGCCUUCGGGUUGUAAACCGCUUUCGCCUGUGACGAAGCGUGAGUGACGGUAAUGGGUAAAGAAGCACCGGCUAACUACGUG